CAAGGUUUCACCAUGUUGGUCGGGCUGGUCUAGAAUUCCUGACCUUGUGACCCGCCAGCCUCAGUCUCCCAAAGUGCUGGGAGUACAGUCGUGAGCCACCGCGCCCGGCCCUAUCUAUCUAUUUCUAUCUAUCUAUUAUCUAUCUAUCUCUUAAGGGUUUUUUAUCUGGAGAACCUUGACUAAUAUACCAGUGUUACUUAUCUAUUUGAACUCCUGUACUUUUCUGCCAUGAAAAUCUGGGAGAUACAAGAUAGCUUAUUCACUGUAGCUUUAUACACACACACAUGCACUAGUAUGUAUAUAACAUAUGAUAUAGAUAUGUGUUUAUAAAUGUGCAUAUACGAAUAUAUGUGUGUAUUAAUACCCUAGUUUGGCCAGAAAAACCAACUCCCCACCAGAUAAUUCAACUGAGAGAAUUUUAUAUGGGGACUUAUUUACAAAAGUAUUUAGAACAGUGGAGAGAAUGAAAAAGAUGAUACAAAAUCAAUUUUAUUAGGCCACUACCCUCCUUAGUUAUAGAUGGGCAAAUGGAACAGAAUACUGGAACCUAGGAGCCUGGGCUACCAGGUAGGAGCAGAAAACUCAGUGGGGCCACCUGAUGGGAGACAGAACCAACCACAGAGAUAAGACCACUGCUGAUGACACUACUCAAAGCAGAUAAAUAAAAUUAAAAAUACCUUGGCUUCUCCCAUUGGUUAAAGCUAGCAUGGAAGCCUGAGAAACAAAAUUAGCAGAGUUCAGCUUCCGUGACUCAGAGCAAACAAGGGAAUGGGUAAAAAAUGAUUCUGAAAGCAAGCACAUGAUUAACAUAUAUAAAUGUAUAUGCAUUAGUAUGUUUAUGUAUCAUAUAUAAAUGUAUAAUAUAUAUAAUAUGUGCAUGUUUAUAAGAUAUGCAUAUAUAUUUUAUAUAUAUAUAUAUAUAUGUACAUACUCCAAAUUUUUAUAAUGGGGAGAGUUUUUAAGAAAGACUCAGAUACUAUUUUUAAAGUGCCUUUUGCUCAGCAGCUUUGCUUUCUCCUGAAAUGAAAAACAUCUAGGCAUCAUGGGUCAGAACAGAAAAAAAUGAUGGAUCAAAUUCCUAAGGCUAUUAAGAAUUGCACAUUGAGACUACUCAAUGGGACUGCCACUUACUCUCGCCGAAGUAGUUAGGAAGAACAAGUAUGCAUAAAACUGAAGUUGAGUUUCUUUAGGGAAUGAUAUAUUCCUUACCACCAAUUAAUAAACUGUUUUUAUUUCCUUCUUUUUGUUAAAAACUGAGGCUCAGAGAAUCUAAGGUACUAAAACAAAGUAUUUAAUGUUACAGCUUCAAUUUGAGUUCACUACAAACCUUUCACUAUCACAGUCUAAAUUUGUGGGAAAUCUACUCUGGAGUGUAAGGGCAGGUCUGGCUUCGCGGGUGUUCAACCUGUGCAUUGCACAGAGGCACGUGCUCAAAAGGGUCCCAUCCUGAUUUAAUGUUUUGCUAUUGUCCUCUUAUAAUACUGUUAUCUAUAAACUGUCUAUAAGCUAUAAAACUAUUUUAUAGUUUACAAACCUUUUGUAAGUGAAUUCUGAUGAAACAAUGGAGUGUGCAUAAACAGAGGUGAUAUAAACAGUAGGUGCAUCUACUACCAUUUCUUGCAUAUAGUAUUCAUCCUACCUCCUGAGCACAGAAUUCUGGUGAACUCAUGAUAUAUGGGAGUUUAGCGAGACUCGAACUGAGCAGCAUUACAUCUGUGACUGAAACAGGGGCAUUGACAGCCCCAAAAUGCCACACUCUUUAUUCAAACCAAAACAUGUUUAGGACACAAAAAGAGGGUAGCGCAUGGCUUUCUGAAAUGCAAGAAUGGACCAGGCACAGUGGCUCAUGCCUGUAAUCUCAGCAAUUUGGGAGGCCGAGGUGGAUGGAUCACUUGAGGUCAGGAGUUUGAGACCAGCCUGGCCAACACAUGAAACCCCGUCUCUACUAAAAAUACAAAAAUUAGCCAGGCGUGGUAGUGUGCACCUCUAGUCCCACCUACUCAGGAGGUUGAGGCAGGAGAAUCACUUAAACCCCGGAGGCAGAGGUUGCAGUGAGCCAAGAUCACACCACUGCACUCCAGCCUGGCUGACAGAGCGAGUCUCUCUCUCAAAAAAUAAUAAUAAUAAUAAAAAUAAAAAAAUAACUAUACAUGGGGUAGCUUCUGCCUGAUACUUCAACUCAAGCAGAAUCUGGAGAAAAUUUCAAGAGUUCACUAGUAAAAAAUGCAGUUAUUACUUGCUUGUAAAAAUAGCAUGUUUAAUUCUUAAAUUGAAUUAUUAAUUUGGCUAGCCAUAAAGAAAAUAAACUGGCAUUUCCAUGUUUUAUUAUUUUUAUUUCCUAAUUAAAUCAUUCAGGUGUUGAAAGUUUGGUUCAAGCUUCUCUUGAAAGAAAUUUCUAAGCAGAUUAAGAGCUAUUUAGACUCACAGUUGGCAGAAAAGAUUAUGUUUUCAUGCCUGCAUAUAUAUUUCCUGCCUGUCUCUAGAGCUUCUUGACAAGGAUUUUGUUUCUCCUCCCUCUUAUUUGUGGAGGAUGAAAAGUUAACGUGAUACAGCUAUGUAGAAAUUUAAGAGAAGUUUAUACGUUAAAAAAAAAAAAGUAGCCCUUUUGCAAAAAUCCAGGGAAUUCUUGGAGUUUAUUUUUAAAACAGUUAAAAAAAUUUUAGUCUUUUUAAUGACAUUAAUUUCCUAAAAUUAACAUUCAACCCCAUAAAUAUCAUAAGGGUGACUAUCACCCUUAUUAACAAUAUGCUUAUCCUUUAUUUCAGAGAAGAGUCAUUAAAAAUGAAUCUUUUAAAAAGUUUAAUUAUAUACAAUGUCUCUUACUAUACAAAAGUUAAUAAUAGAUAUGAAAAAUAGAUGUCCUGUAGGCAAACAAGUGCGGGGAACAUUUAAACAGGGUUUUAUUUGGUUUUGAUUUAUUUAUUUUUCCCUGUAGUCUUUUUCAUAGCCUAUAAUGUGAAAAUAUGCAUUCAACGUCUCCAAGACACUUUUGGACCUCUUGAAUAUGCCUGCACCCAGGCCUAUUGUCUCUUCUCAGUUUGUAAUUCACUGGGUAAGCCAGGUAGGUACCAACACAUAUUUUCGGUCCCAGGGAUAUGACGGAAGAAGAAUCCCUUUUUUGGGCUUCAGAUUUAAAGCCAGAUUUAGAUCUGGGUCCCCACCAAAUCUCAUGUCAAAUUGUAAUCCCCAGUGUUGGAGGCGGGGCCUGGUGGGAAGUGGUUGAAUCAUGGGGGUGGAUUUCUCAUGAAUGGUUUAGCACCAUUCGCCCUUGGUACUGUCCUUGCAAAAGUGAGUGAGUUCUCACCAGAUCUAGUUGUUUAAAAGUGAAUGGCACCUCCCGCCUCACUCUCUCUUGCUCCUUCUCUGGCCAUGUAACAUUUCUGCUCCCCCUUUGCCUUCCACCAUGAUUGGGAAUGCUCUGAGGCCUCUCCAGAAACCAAGUAGAUGCUGCCAUGUUUCCUGGACAGCCUGCAGAACUGUGAGCCAAUUACACCUCUUCUUUAUAAAUUAUCCAGUCUCAGUUGUUUCUUUGUAGCCAUGAGAGAAUAAAAUAAUACAGAAAAUCAUUCUCUAAUUUAUUUUGUCUUGAUUAUAAAACCAAUAUUUGAUUUUUGUCUGCACAGUAGGAUUUCCUAAACUGUAGUUCCUUCUCUUCAGUUCAGACAACUUAUUGAAUAAAGCCUAGGAAAAAAUACCCAUUGUAUUUGAAUGAAUAUUUUUAAGGAACAUCUUGGUUAUUAGUUAUAAUGUGUACUGAUACAUGCAUCAUGAGCUAAAUUAAAUUAUUCUUCUAGAAAAUAACUAAUGUUCUCAAACAUUUUAGAUCUUUUGAUGUAAAUUUUCUAGAUUACAUAGCAAAAUAAACAAAUUCAUAGUUUUCGUUUUUCAUAUUUUUAAAGCAAUUUCAAAUAGUGCAUGCUUAUUAUCAAACAUUUAAAAGUGCAGAAAUGAGGAGUGGACAGUGAAAAUUCUCCAUUAUUACUAUUCCCAUAGAUGCAAGUUGGUGCAAAUACUUCCAGAGAGGUUACAAUUAUACACAUUGCACAUAUGUAUGUGUGUACAUGUGCAUAUGUAUUAGUAGGGGUUAUCUAGAGGGUCAGGACAAAUAGGAUAUAUAUAUAUAUAUAUACAUACAUAUGUAUGUGUGUGUGUGUGUAUAUAUAUAUAUUCAUAUAUAUAUAUAUAUAUGUAUGAAAGGGAGUUUAUUAGGAGAAUUGAUUCACAUAAUCACAAGAUGAAGUCUCACAAUAGGCAGUCUGCAAGCUGAGAAGCAAGGCAGCCAGUCCAAGUCUCAAAACUUCAAAAGCAGGUAAGCUGGUAGAGCAGCUUUCAGUCUGUGACUGAAGGCCCGAGAGCCCCUGGCAAACCACUGAUGUAGAUCCAAGGAUCCAAAAGCUGAAGAACUUGGAGUCCAAUGUUUGAGGGCAGGAAGCAUCCAGCAUGGGAGAAAGAUGAAGGCCAGAAGACUUAGCUAGUCUAGUCCUUCCACGUUCCUCUGCCUGCUUUUAUCCUAGCCAUGCUGGCAGCUGAUUAAAUGGUGCCCACUAAGAUUGAGGGUGGGUCUGCCUCUCCUAGUCCACUGACUCAAAUGUUAAUCUCCUUUGGCAACACCUCAUAGAAACACCCAGGAACAAUACUUUCCAUCCUUCAAUCUAAUCAAGUUGACAUUCAAUAUUAACCAUCACAUGCAUAAAAUUAUUCACAUAAAUAAUCUUAAAUGGUGUUAUUUUGACACACACAAAUACAAUUUUAAUGAGUUUUCUUAUACACAUCAGAAGAUUUCCUAUAUGCAUAAUUCAUUUUAAUACUAGAAUAAUUUUUUGGGUAUAAUGUACCUUUUCACUAUAUGCAGUAAACCUCACUUUGAUAGAGACUCUUAUGAAAUUGAAAAAAAAAGCUUCUGUGGAAAAUGGCAUUGGUAUUUUGAUAGACAUUGCAUGGAAUCUGUAGAUUGUUUUGGGCAGUAGGGUUAUUUUAAUUAAUUAAUGCUUCCAAUCUAUGAGAAUGGGAUAUUUUUUUCUAUUUGUUUGUGUCAUCUACAAUUUGUUUUACAGUUUUCCUUGUAGAGAUCUUUCAAUUCCUUGGUUAAAUAUAUUCCUAGGUAUAUUAAUUUUUUGUAGUUAUUGUAAAUGGGAUUGCCUUCUUUAUUUGGUUCGCAUCUUGAUCAUUAUUGAUGUACAGAAAUGCCACAUGUAAAAUUUGUUUUUAAAAAAUGCUUAAACAUUUAAAAUAUACAAAGAUUUUUUUUAUUAAAUCUGUAAACUUUGUUCAUUUAUGUUUUUUAGGAUGACUUACUUAUAAAACAAAAUAUUCAGUUGACAUAUUCAAAAUAAAUAAACAGGAAUAUGUAAUGUAAUACGUAUACCUUUGUAUAUAUGUAAAUAUAUACAAAUAUCUUUUGGUAUCCUCAAGGGAUUAGUUCCCAGACCCCUGUGGAUACCAUAAUCCAAGGAUGCUCAAGCACCUAAUAUAAAAUGGCAUAGUAGUUGCAUAUAACCUAUGCAUAUCCUCCCAUAUAUUUAAUCUCAUAUCUACAUUACUUAUAUGUCUAAUACAAUAUGAAUGCCAUCCAAAUGGUUGUUCUACUGUAUUUUUCAUAUUAUUUUUUAUUGUUGUAUUGCUAUUUUAAAAAUAUUUUUCAUUUGCAGUUGGUCGAAUUCAUGGACGCAGAACCCAUCGAUAAGGAAUGGAGCUGGUUUAUUACUCCAAAAUAAGCUGAAUAAAAUCCUGUUAGAAGAAAGUUAGUGCAAUGAGUUAUGCUUAAAAAAACAAUACUGGGUAUGUGGCUGGCAGAAAGAACCUUCUGAUUAUACAGCUGCAGCAACUCUACUAGACUGAACAAAGGGAUUAGGACUGACAGCAUGGGGAAUCUAAGCCAAAAUUGGAAUUCCUUAUUAGCAAAAGUUACCACAUGGCAAUUCAGGUAAAUCAAACCACUAGUGCCAAGCAGAGUGUUAACAGAGCCAUCUGGGGAAAUGAAGAAUCACAGAAUAUCUGGCAAUGAGAUGUCUCUGAGACUGAGGCAAAGUACUGUAUACUUUAACAAAUGGCCAAUUGCAACAUUUCAUUUAAACCAGAAGAAAAAUAUGGCUUACUCUUAUAAUAUAUAGAGUACUACAUGGUAAGCUUGAUGUAUAGGACCUUAAGAGACUCAUUUAAUUGAAUAGGUUUUCCCUUCCUGAAAGCAAAUCCCAAUAAAAUUCAUUUAUUUAUUUAAACAUGACAGUCUACAUUUACAAUAAGUAUAAGUUAGGACAUGUGAAAUACAGUGCAUGGAUGCUUUUCAGCUCAAAGAAAUUUGGGGCCAAAAGUCAGGGUAAAAAUAAACAUAUAGUCCUCCAGGAUACUCCUGAGAUUACUCUGGACAGCCCUGCUCUAUCUACCCAGACUGAUGCUCUUCAAGAUGAUCCCUGCUGAUUAAGAAAUACAUUUUGAAUUAAAUGCUCUCACUGUCAUACAGGAGAGCAGAAAGUCCACAGAGAAUGAAGCAGCAGCGAUAAAUCAGCUUUCUGUCAUAGACUGAGUAUCUGUGUAUUUUCUCUACUCUCUUUCUAAAUAAAAUUGAUGUCCUUGA
rnacentral:lncRNA from 1 species